CUAAGAAUCUUCCGCAAUGGGCGAAAGCCUGACGGAGCGACGCCGCGUGAACGAAGAAGGCCGUGAGGUUGUAAAGUUCUUUUCGGGAGGGGGAACAACCGUGGCAGGGAAUGGCCGCGGGAUGACGUGAAUCCCGGAAUAAGCCCCGGCUAACUACGUGCCAGCAGCCGCGGUAACACGUAGGGGGCGAGCGUUGUUCGGAAUCAUUGGGCGUAAAGGGCGUGCAGGCGGUCCUGCAAGUCCGGCGUGAAAGACCCCGGCCCAACCGGGGGGACGCGCUGGAAACUGCAGGGCUUGAGUACAGGAGGGGAUGCCGGAAUUCCAGGUGUAGGGGUGAAAUCUGUAGAUAUCUGGAAGAACACCAAUGGCGAAGGCAGGCAUCUGGCCAUGUACUGACGCUGAGACGCGAAGGUGCGGGGAGCAAACAGGUUUAGAUACCCUGGUAGUCCGCACAGUAAACGAUGUGCACCAGGUGGCGGGGGGUCGA
rnacentral:rRNA from 1 species